rnacentral:rRNA from 1 species
UGGCGGACGGGUGAGUAACGCGUGGGUAACCUGCCUCACACAGGGGGAUAACAGUUGGAAACGGCUGCUAAUACCGCAUAAGCGCACAGUACCGCAUGGUACGGUGUGAAAAACUCCGGUGGUAUGAGAUGGACCCGCGUCUGAUUAGGUAGUUGGUGGGGUAACGGCCUACCAAGCCGACGAUCAGUAGCCGACCUGAGAGGGUGACCGGCCACAUUGGGACUGAGACACGGCCCAA